rnacentral:piRNA from 1 species
GGGGAAUGAAUAUAAUAACACUAUUUUGUAU